UACGGAGGAUGCGAGCGUUAUCCGGAUUCAUUGGGUUUAAAGGGUGCGUAGGCGGACUGAUAAGUCAGUGGUGAAAUCCUGCAGCUUAACUGUAGAACUGCCAUUGAUACUGUUAGUCUUGAGUUUGGUUAAGGUAGGCGGAAUGUGUAAUGUAGCGGUGAAAUGCUUAGAUAUUACACAGAACACCGAUUGCGUAGGCAGCUUACUGGACCGACACUGACGCUGAGGCACGAAAGCGUGGGGAU
rnacentral:rRNA from 1 species